GACGGCCCAUUUGAGACAACUGGAACUGGUCGAGAUAUUUUCCCCUCGUCUCCCCAGGAAAGCUCCUUCCUUUUCCCCUCGCCCAUCUUCUUCCCCUUUGCCUCCCCCAAGUCGCCGGCAAUUCUCCAUGCCGCUCAGACGACUCCUCGCCGGCGAAAAUUCCAUAUUUCGUCGUCCUGGCCAUUCCACGAUUCGUCUUCCCGAUGGCCAAUACAUCGAUGUCUACACUGACGACGAUGGGACUCUCGUCACCGGCGGAUCGGAGGGCCGGCCGCCACGGCCUGUCCAAGAAAUCUUCGCCGACAUCCGGCGCCGUCAGGCGGCCGCUGAGGACGCCGCCCGUCGCCUCCACCACCCGCAGCGGCGUCCACAACCCCAGCCAGCAUCAGAUGCGGCCUCCACGACCCAACUACCUCCAACCCCCUCCACUCCACUCCACUCCACCAUCAGAAUCAGAUGCAGCCGACCCCCUGCAACCCCUUCCCCUCCCCUCCACCGUCAGCUGCAGCCUCCACAACCCGAACCCAUCCCCUACGCUCCAGGCAAGCCUCGCCCCUUUACACUCACCGACCUGGAUGCGAUACGUCGACGCGUAGCAGAUGCACGCAUGGAAGUCACUUGCUCCGACUACCCUGACGGGGAUGGACAACUCUCCACGGAUGUCGAUGAGAUAUCUCAACGCGUAGCAGAUGUACGCAUGGAAAUAGCCUGCUCCGACAUCCAGACGAGGCCCUACGAUCGGCCGCAACCUCCACAGUGCGAGUACCCUUCUUAUGAUGUGCCUGAGCAGUUGGAAACGCCACUGCUAGAGCCAAAGAACACCAACACUUCAUCUUCCUCCACACAGCCAGAGGCGCUAACUCAUGACAUCUUGCCAGUGUCAAGGCAAUCAUCUCCGCCUAUUUUCGCUCGCAAUCCUUCUGGUUGGCAUAUACAGUUUUUCAUCAGAAUAGAUGUUGAGGGUUCUUUCCAACGUAUCCUAGUCUGGGCGGGCCAUUUCAGAGCUUGCAGGAAGCUGAGAACGCUAUCACUAGCCAUCUUGACGAGCUGCGCUCUCCAAUGAUGUGCACAGAUGGGCUUUCGGAUGCUGAGAUUGGUAUAUUACAUGCCCUUCACUGGCCUGAUGGCACAAGGAAGAAAUCUUCUAAAGGCAAUGCGGAACAUAGGAAUAUCAGCUUAUUGGUUCAAGCGUUACUAGACAAAUACAAUGAAGAUCAUCAUCUUUUGGGGGAUUUUGCAUAUGAACUUGAUGAUGUUGUUAUCUUCCGAGAAUUUGUUGAGGGGGAGAAAGUGACUAGGUUCUAUCAUAUCAAUCUGGCUACAAAAACCAAAGGAGAAGAUGGUUUGCAGAGUGGCGUCAACAAUCUAUUUUCUGCUGAAGUCAGACAAAUUAAAGGAGAAAAUGUAUAUGUACUCAGUUGUUUAUGCAUGGUUAAACCUACUGACAGUGGCCAAUGCUAUGGUUGCUUGAGUUAUGGAAAUGUUGAUUUGAAGCACCCUGUUGAUACUGAUAAAUACAAAGGUGGCCACACUGCCCCGCGCUCACCAUGUUGCGGUUUUGAUCUACGGUGUGAUGUUAUCCCUGGCCUAGAUGUACCUGAAUGCAUCGAGGAUGAGGAGGCUAGGCUGGCGAAGGAGGAGGCUAGGUUAAGAUAUAUAUACAAGUGCCCUGCUCCGGCAAAAUUGGAUGGUGCAAGAGUGCGUGCUGGUUUGGCAAAGAGAGAGGAUGGUGGUUUGACCAAGGGAGAGUGUGGCCAGGGAAGCGCGAAAUACAUUGUGCCUGCUAGGCGUCGUCUGCUGGUUUGAGUAACCCCUCAGUUUACAGAGGGAGUACAUGCCGAAUUGCCAAAAAAGAAAUUCCAUUGAUGAGUUGUUUUCCUUCAGAACUCCUUGAUGUUGCAUGGCAUAACUAUUCUUUAGUUUCUAGUAUCUUGGAGAAGGAUUAAACUCGCCGUGCACCAUAAUUUGGGAUGUUGUUGCUGCAAUAGUAGAAUGUAUGGACCUGCCCUUUGCUUUGGACUUGGUUGUAGCUGCUCGGAAGUUUGGUGCUUUGGGUCCGUAAUGGUGUAAUGUUUCAUAUUUUAGUUCCAUGGAAGGUCUGCAAUGGAGCUGCCUUUUGUUUUUUAAAUGUUGUCAAUAUUUAUGCUUCAGUCUUUCAUCGACACAUAAGUUUCCAUCUAGUUAGCACACAUGCUCCGCAUCUAAUUUUCAUCGACACAUAAUUUGCCAUGACGUUAGCACACAGGCGCCUCAUCUAAUUUUUCAUGACGGUAACAAGUAUGGAAUGAAAGGAAGCAUGCCAUAUGAUAUGGACACAUGGAAUGAAUAUCGGAACCAUAAUGUACGCAGGGUGAUUAAAGGAAGUUUGUGAGGGAA